GAUGACAGGCUUCAGGAGGAGGUAGCUGUGAUGUGUUCCAGCUGUAGACACACCACAUACAGAUGACAGGCUUCAGGAGGAGGUAGCUGUGAUGUGUUCCAGCUGUAGACACACCACAUACAGAUGACAGGCUUCAGGAGGAGGUAGCUGUGAUGUGUUCCAGCUGUAGACACACCACAUACAGAUGACAGGCUUCAGGAGGAGGUAGCUGUGAUGUGUUCCAGCUGCAGACACACCAUGUACCGAUGACAGGCUUCAGGAGGAGGUACUUGUGAUCUGUUCCAGCUGUAGACACACCACAUACAGAUGACAGGCUUCAGGAGGAGGUAGCUGUGAUGUGUUCCAGCUGCAGACACACCAUGUACAGAUGACAGGCUUCAGGAGGAGGUAGCUGUGAUCUGUUCUAGCUGUAGUCACAUUGCACAGAUGACAUGAAUCAAGAGGAUGUGGUGGUGGGACGUGUUUAAGCUGUAGUCACAUUACGCAGAUGACCAACAUGAGAAACAGUACAAAGAAUGGCAUUUUCAGCCCUGCACUCGCUGAAAAAGACAACAUAAUUCAUCAUCACUGAGAGAACUUGACCAAAACUUACGAAAGGUAACACAUAAACUUUAUUAUGGAAUUCAAAGCCUCUAUGGUUUAAAACUUUUAGAACAAGCACAUUAUUGAUGACAACCCGCUCGCAGUUUGAAGGAAGGACUAUGUGACUAAAGGUAUACGUGAAGAUCCGGAUAGAGUUGAUCCUCAGUAACCAAUACGUAUCGUGAGAGAUGACUAAGAGAAUAAAGUUGAUGCAUGUCAA